AAGCUUGUCAAAACAUUGCUGGGCCCCGCCUGCCGAGUUUCAGAUUCAGUAGGUCUGGGAUGAGGUUGGAUAAUUUGCCUGUCUACCAGGUUCCCUGGUGACGAUAAUGCUGCUUGUCUGGGAACCACGCUUUGAGAACCCGUGGCACGGUGCUGGGUCCCCGGGGUAGCUGAAACCACAGAGCCACUUUCAAGAAACUCCCAGCCUAAUGAAUACACGAACCAUGGUGACACCAAGCAGAAGAGCCCUAAGGUUGAAGCUCUGUGAAUGGUGGUUAUCACCAUUUGUCAUCUUCCAAGGCUUCUGGAGCCCCCUGAGGAGGACCUUGCUGAACAAAUCUUUCUUUCAGGGAUGAAGAUUACUGAGUGUCCUGCAAAGAAAUAUGAAGUACACAGGCAAAAAGAAUAGGGUACAUGGAAGGACUUAUGAAAUGUAAGGAAAGGGGAAGGAAUUCAUCUGGGGAAGGAAUACACAAAGCCUUUUCUAAUUCUUAGCCGUAAAAUGUAUAAUACAAAAUUAAACCCUGUCCCUGUGAUUAAGAGUAACACCUAAGGCAGGAAUGGGCCCCAAUCUUUCCUUCUCCUACUGAUGUUGAAUAUAACAAUUUCCCUAGAGGGGAAAUUGUGUUCCACCGUGGUCUCUUAGAUAACUUCAACCACAACCUCAUCACGAUGUUUGAAGGUUCAUGGAGCAACGGAAGGUGUCCGCAAGCCCAGCUACCAAACUUCCAGUUAAGAAGUCACCUCCUCCAGAAAACUAUGCUGAAUCAGAUUCAUUCCUCUGAUGAUUGCAUGCCUGCUGUGUGCCAAGCACCAUGGUAGAGGGUGACCAGUGGCCAGGGCUACGUGAGUCAGCAUCCAGACGCCCGCGGAGAUGUCUGCGCGCUUUGAUCCUGACCCCCAAGCAGCUAGAUGCCCAAAGCUCUCACCACCCUCUUCUCUGAUUGUCGAGUUGAUUGUCUGAAUCCCCUGUUAAUCUGUGAAGUCCUUGGGCAAGGACCAUGGCUUUUAUCUUUGUAUUCCCAAAGCCUGGCACGUUCUAACUGGGAAUAGAAGUAGCUCACCUUACUCAUAUUUCUUUUUACUUAUUAAAGCAUUUUAUUUUACAUG